rnacentral:rRNA from 1 species
UACGGGGGGAGCAAGCGUUGUUCGGAUUUACUGGGCGUAAAGGGCGCGUAGGCGGCGCGACAAGUCACUUGUGAAAUCUCCGGGCUUAACUCGGAGCGGCCAAGUGAUACUGUCGUGCUAGAGUGCGGAAGGGGCAACUGGAAUUCUCGGUGUAGCGGUGAAAUGCGUAGAUAUUCGGAGGAACACCAGUGGCGAAGGCGGCUCACUGGCCCGGUACUGACGCUCAAGUGCGAAAGCGUGGGGAGCAAACAGG